UACGUAGGGGGCAAGCGUUGGUCCGGAAUCAUUGGGCGUAAAGAGCGCGUAGGCGGUCCGGUAAGUCCGCUGUGAAAGUCAAGGGCUCAACCCUUGAAUGCCGGUGGAUACUGUCGGGCUAGAGUCCGGAAGAGGCGAGUGGAAUUCCUGGUGUAGCGGUGAAAUGCGCAGAUAUCAGGAGGAACACCAAUGGCGAAGGCAGCUCGCUGGGACGGUACUGACGCUGAGGCGCGAAAGCUAGGGGAGCAAACAGG
rnacentral:rRNA from 1 species